GACGAACGCUGGCGGCGUGCUUAACACAUGCAAGUCGAACGGAAAGGCCCUGCUUUUGUGGGGUGCUCGAGUGGCGAACGGGUGAGUAACACGUGAGUAACCUGCCCUUGACUUUGGGAUAACUUUAGGAAACUGGGGCUAAUACCGGAUAGGAGCUCCUGCUGCAUGGUGGGGGUUGGAAAGUUUCGGCGGUUGGGGAUGGACUCGCGGCUUAUCAGCUUGUUGGUGAGGUAGUGGUUUACCAAGGCUUUGACGGGUAGCCGGCCUGAGAGGGUGACCGGCCACAUUGGGACUGAGAUACGGCCCAGACUCCUACGGGAGGCAGCAGUGGGGAAUAUUGCACAAUGGGCGGAAGUGUGAUGCAGCAGCGCCGCGUGCGGAAUAACGGCCUUCGGGUUGUAAACCGCUUUCGCCUGUGACGAAGCGUGAGUGACGGUAAUGGGUAAAGAAGCACCGGCUAACUACGUG
rnacentral:rRNA from 1 species